GGAUUUCCAAACACAACAUUCUUUUCCUGAUAGCCUGUUGCACCCCAUUGUGUCUCUCCCCACGCUCAUUCAGAGGUUUUAACUCCUUCUCAUAGUCAGGGGUGCAGAUGAGAUGGCCUCCCACUUAAAGUGGAUUUCCGAUUUUCAGAAGCCAUUAUUCAGUUCCACAUGCACACAUCCUCCAACUUUGCAUGUCUAUUAUGAUAAAGUAACAGAGCACUCCUGUGAGGCCAAGUCCAGGUCCGCUGCCUCUGUAUGCUGGAGGGUUAGAAAUUAAUUAAAUUCUAGUAUCUAAUUGGGAGUUUGCAGGUUUGGAGUCCACAUGUGGUCCACACAUCACUGAGAUAAUCCAGAAACUAUGAUGGAUAUAUAUGUUUACAUGUAUGUGAUAACACAGACACUCAAGGCCUGAAAAUAAAUGAGUUUUGUUGAGACAAAAGGAACAAAUCACAGCCUGGGGGCUGCUCCUGAAAAUACAAGGUGGUAAAAGUAUCAUAAACUUGGACCCAUGUCAAGGUUCCAUGCAACUAGAAACAGUCCCCAAAAUCUGGGCGAAGAAGAAUAUCAACUUAUAAGAAGGCCUAUUCCUGUGAUCUCUCUAGGAAAAAGGGUUUGACACUAACACUCAGUUGACUACACCUCAUCGAGUUCUCUAUCUAUACUAAGAGGAGAUCUUUAUCUCCAGCUCCUUCCUCACGAUGGUGAGUGCAUUUAUGAAGUAUGCUGAAGUUCAUGCUCUGGAAGGAGAAUUUGAUUCAUGUUACUCCACAAACUGAAAUAAAUAAGUAAAACAGAGAAUAGCAGUGGGCUCUGAGUUUAAGCCUCGCUCCUAACACUGAAGACGGCAACCUCAACUUCAGCUUCACCUGGGAUUCUGCAGCAGUGCACACUCUUGGGAUCUACCCCAGACUCACUGAAUCAGAAUCUGCAUUUUUAUCAAGACCUCCAUUCAGAAAGCAUUGCUGAUCAUCUGUAACCGAGAGCUUCUUCUGGAUCACACCCAGUCCAUCUGACGGCAUCUGUAUCCUCAACUGAUGAUGAUGGAGACACUGCCAUCUUCCAGUGCUGGGAGAGGAUGGGAGUACAUGAUACCAUGUCCACUGGAGUCAAACAAACCAGACUGGAAUCAUGACUCUGCCAGACAUUCUUUCAGGUCCUGUGUACCAGUGAAGCUACUGAUGUCAGCUCGUCUGAAGAAUCCACAGGUAGUCACUCACCAAAUAACUCCAUUUCUGCAUUCUGAUGUUUUCAUCCCCUUUACCAAAAAAAAUCAACAGCCCCAGUUUUCCAGUCCCUCAUCCUCCACUAACCCCUUAAAAAUUCCAUCCCAGAACUCCUCAGGGAGACAUAUUUGAGGAUCUCUUCCUGUCUUCCCCGCUCAGCACCUUGGAAUCAUUAAAAUCUUUCUCUCUGCUGCAAACUCUGCUGUCU